CCUACGGGUGGCAGCAGUAGGGAAUAUUGCUCAAUGGGGGAAACCCUGAAGCAGCAACGCCGCGUGGAGGAUGACGGUUUUCUGAUUUUAAACUCCUUUUGUUAGAGAAGAUAAUGACGGUAUCUAACGAAUAAGCACCGGCUAACUCCGUGCCAGCAGCCGCGGUAAUACGGCGGGUGCAAGCGUUACUCGGAAUCACGGGGCGUAAAGCGCGCGUAGGCGGGAUAGCAAGUCAGAUGUGAAAUCCUAUGGAUUAACCAUAGAACUGCAUUUGAAACUGUUAUUCUAGAGUAUGGGAGAGGUAGGUGGAAUUCUUGGUGUAGGGGUAAAAUCCGUAGAGAUCAAGAAGAAUACUGAUUGCGAAGGCGACCUGCUAGAACAUAACUGACGCUGAUGCGCGAAAGCGUGGGGAGCAAACAGGAUUAGAUACCCCAGUAGUC
rnacentral:rRNA from 1 species